AGAGUUUGAUCCUGGCUCAGGACGAACGCUGGCGGCGUGCCUAAUACAUGCAAGUCGAACGAACUCUGGUAUUGAUUGGUGCUUGCAUCAUGAUUUACAUUUGAGUGAGUGGCGAACUGGUGAGUAACACGUGGGAAACCUGCCCAGAAGCGGGGGAUAACACCUGGAAACAGAUGCUAAUACCGCAUAACAACUUGGACCGCAUGGUCCGAGUUUGAAAGAUGGCUUCGGCUAUCACUUUUGGAUGGUCCCGCGGCGUAUUAGCUAGAUGGUGGGGUAACGGCUCACCAUGGCAAUGAUAGCGUAGCCGACCUGAGAGGGUAAUCGGCCACAUUGGGACUGAGACACGGCCCAAACUCCUACGGGAGGCAGCAGUAGGGAAUCUUCCACAAUGGACGAAAGUCUGAUGGAGCAACGCCGCGUGAGUGAAGAAGGGUUUCGGCUCGUAAAACUCUGUUGUUAAAGAAGAACAUAUCUGAGAGUAACUGUUCAGGUAUUGACGGUAUUUAACCAGAAAGCCACGGCUAACUACGUGCCAGCAGCCGCGGUAAUACGUAGGUGGCAAGCGUUGUCCGGAUUUAUUGGGCGUAAAGCGAGCGCAGGCGGUUUUUUAAGUCUGAUGUGAAAGCCUUCGGCUCAACCGAAGAAGUGCAUCGGAAACUGGGAAACUUGAGUGCAGAAGAGGACAGUGGAACUCCAUGUGUAGCGGUGAAAUGCGUAGAUAUAUGGAAGAACACCAGUGGCGAAGGCGGCUGUCUGGUCUGUAACUGACGCUGAGGCUCGAAAGUAUGGGUAGCAAACAGGAUUAGAUACCCUGGUAGUCCAUACCGUAAACGAUGAAUGCUAAGUGUUGGAGGGUUUCCGCCCUUCAGUGCUGCAGCUAACGCAUUAAGCAUUCCGCCUGGGGAGUACGGCCGCAAGGCUGAAACUCAAAGGAAUUGACGGGGGCCCGCACAAGCGGUGGAGCAUGUGGUUUAAUUCGAAGCUACGCGAAGAACCUUACCAGGUCUUGACAUACUAUGCAAAUCUAAGAGAUUAGACGUUCCCUUCGGGGACAUGGAUACAGGUGGUGCAUGGUUGUCGUCAGCUCGUGUCGUGAGAUGUUGGGUUAAGUCCCGCAACGAGCGCAACCCUUAUUAUCAGUUGCCAGCAUUAAGUUGGGCACUCUGGUGAGACUGCCGGUGACAAACCGGAGGAAGGUGGGGAUGACGUCAAAUCAUCAUGCCCCUUAUGACCUGGGCUACACACGUGCUACAAUGGAUGGUACAACGAGUUGCGAACUCGCGAGAGUAAGCUAAUCUCUUAAAGCCAUUCUCAGUUCGGAUUGUAGGCUGCAACUCGCCUACAUGAAGUCGGAAUCGCUAGUAAUCGCGGAUCAGCAUGCCGCGGUGAAUACGUUCCCGGGCCUUGUACACACCGCCCGUCACACCAUGAGAGUUUGUAACACCCAAAGUCGGUGGGGUAACCUUUUAGGAACCAGCCGCCUAAGGUGGGACAGAUGAUUAGGGUGAAGUCGUAACAAGGUAACC
rnacentral:rRNA from 2 species